rnacentral:lncRNA from 1 species
UUUUAUCAGUGAUGAUUAUAAAGUAAAUAAAUAAGUAAAUUUUUCAAAGUAAAUAGUGUUAGCUUGAGAAUUCUCUGGAUGACGAGCUGAGUUGCCGUGAGAGUAAGUUUAUGGAGCUGUAGGCCCCAUGUUAGAUAAUAAAGGACGCUUUUGGAUUUCAGUCAAGGAGGAAUCUUGUGUCAGGAUGGCAUGGUUGUGUCGGUUGAUGCGAUCAGAUGGAUGUUAUGUCGAGGAUGAUGUGAUGUAGAUGUUAAGGAUUUUUUUCUGUACGUGCAAGGGGCGCGUCAUUAGGAAGGAAACUUGGUGAGUGGAUUUUUGGCAGGAUCAGAAUUGGCCCUUCUUGUGUGGAGACCCUUGGUUUUGUCGGCAGGUUGGUGAGGUGGCAUGUAAGUUGGACUUGCCGCCAAGUAUUAGUAAUGUUCUCUGAGGUUAAAUCCAGUUGUUUGUAAGUUUGAGCUGAGGAAGUGUAUUUUCGAUCUUUGCUCGUGUUGGACCCUUAGUGUGUGGAAGCAAGUGAAGAUUUGGUUUCCGAGGAGUAGUAAGUGAGG